rnacentral:lncRNA from 1 species
UGCAGCUAGACGACAAAAUUUCAAAUCUGAGCUAUUAAUUUCAAAUUUAGGUAGGGAAAUGGAUGGAUGAAUGGUCAUCGAUAACAGAGAAGUCGGCCGCCGGAAUUCGGCACCGACCGAGACACUACCACCCCACCGCUUAGAACUUGCCGGUAAAAAAAUUGGAUUGGCAAAAAAUUGAAGUCAAGUAGUUGCAAUCGGAUUUGGAUUUUACCUUCGGGGCUGACUCUGACCGGUUUCCGAUGACCGAAU